ACUUGGUGAAAUUCCUCAGGGAUUUUGAGACAUCAAAGCAAUCUCUCUAGUUCUGGAAAGACUGAAUUUGCAGCAUCUGCUGAAAUGAGGAAUAAUCAAUGUUCACCAGCGGAAAUUGAAAAGCAAAGAGAUGGGGAAGAUUCCAAGGAUCCACUCAAGUUCCUGGUGUUUUUGUGAAUGUUCUGUGUUUAAGACAUGCUUUUGUUUAGGAGAAGACAUGAGCUGAGCCAACUGGGAUAAAGAAGAGGUUGAAAAUGCGUAUGGCUUAGACAGAGUAAAGAGUUUUAGAUAAAAUAUCGGGGUAACUUUUAGAGUCUUGGCUUAAGGCCAAAGCUUCUGAAUCAAGGAAAGAGUGACAGUUGCCUUCCUCUAUUUUUAUUAAUAUACAGGUGUGUUACCAUUAUUACCUGCCAGAAAGAGCAUAAUAUUAAUCCAAUCAAAUUAUAUGAGUCCUACAGUAGAAAUAUUGCAGACAUUUAAUAUUAUAUUGAAGUUUAAUUAAUGGUAAGACAUUUCAAGGUGGUAAUAGUUAUAUGCAGCUCUUUGGCUAAAAGUCAAAGUGUGAUAUAUACAGAAUAGAAACGAUGCUGGACUGCCAGAAAAUCUGCCUCUCCCUCCCACUCCCCCAAGAUCUAUUAGGAACGAGCAUUUACUGUUAUUAUUUCAAAUAUUUAUGCAAAGUAAUUUUAAAUGAUUUAAACAUUCCAUAUAUCAAUCAAAGUUAAUAAUAAGUUAGAUUCUGAAACAUUUGUGCCAUUAACAACAGUCAGAAAGAUAACAUUAUUUCAUUGGUAUUAAAUGAGGCAAUCAACAGUUUGAUGGAAAAAAAAAAAAAACUAAGUGUAUUUUUUAAAAUUACACUUUUACAUAGAGUUAGAAAACUAGUCCAUAGAAAGGAAACUGUUGACCAAUUACACGUUGUUAUAUCUAACUUGUAUAUUGUUCUUACUAUAGGCUAUGCUCUGUCCUCCUAGAUUUACAUAUAUUUGUAAUUUUUUCUCACAACAACCUUAUGAGUUGGAACUAUUAUUGACUCCA
ensembl:lncRNA NAALADL2-AS2 NAALADL2 antisense RNA 2